rnacentral:lncRNA from 1 species
GUAAACACCAUUGUUUCGGUGUCUGUAAACAUCGAAUUUCUCAUUCCCAGUCAUCAGUAAAUGUCUGGUCAUCAUUUUUGGUGUCGGUAAACACCAUUGUUUCGGUGUCUGUAAACAUCGGGUAUUUUCUCCAGUCAUCGGUAAAUGUCUGGUCAUUUUUGAUGUCGGUAAACAUCAUCUUUCGAUGUCGGUAAACAUCGAGUC